rnacentral:rRNA from 1 species
GACAGAGGGUGCAAACGUUGUUCGGAAUUACUGGGCGUAAAGCGCGUGUAGGCGGCAAGGCAAGUCGGAUGUGAAAGCCCACGGCUCAACCGUGGAAGUGCACCCGAAACUGCCUAGCUAGAGUCUCGGAGAGGAAGGUGGAAUGCUUGGUGUAGAGGUGAAAUUCGUAGAUAUCAAGCGGAACACCGGUGGCGAAGGCGGCCUCUGGACGAUGACUGACGCUGAGACGCGAAAGCGUGGGGAGCAAACAGG